UACGUAGGGAGCAAGCGUUGUCCGGAUUUACUGGGUGUAAAGGGUGCGUAGGCGGCGCUGCAAGUCAGGCGUGAAAUAUAUGGGCUUAACCCAUAGACUGCGUUUGAAACUGUGGUGCUUGAGUGAAGUAGAGGUAGGCGGAAUUCCCGGUGUAGCGGUGAAAUGCGUAGAGAUCGGGAGAACACCAGUGGCGAAGGCGGCUUACUGGGCUUUAACUGACGCUGAGGCGCGAAAGCAUGAGUAGCAAAACAGG
rnacentral:rRNA from 1 species